UGAGGAAUAUUGGUCAAUGGACGAGAGUCUGAACCAGCCAAGUAGCGUGCAGGAUGACGGCCCUAUGGGUUGUAAACUGCUUUUAUAGGGGGAUAAAGUGUGCCACGUGUGGCAUAUUGCAGGUACCCUAUGAAUAAGGACCGGCUAAUUCCGUGCCAGCAGCCGCGGUAAUACGGAAGGUCCAGGCGUUAUCCGGAUUUAUUGGGUUUAAAGGGAGCGUAGGCCGUUUGGUAAGCGUGUUGUGAAAUGUCGGGGCUCAACCUGGGCAUUGCAGCGCGAACUGCCAGACUUGAGUGCGCAGGAAGUAGGCGGAAUUCGUCGUGUAGCGGUGAAAUGCUUAGAUAUGACGAAGAACUCCGAUUGCGAAGGCAGCCUGCUGUAGCGCAACUGACGCUGAAGCUCGAAAGCGUGGGUAUCGAACA
rnacentral:rRNA from 1 species